rnacentral:tRNA from 1 species
UGGAGUGUAGCUCAAUGGUAGAGCAUGUAUUUAGCAUGCACAAGGCCUGGGUUCUAUCCCCAGCUCCAA